rnacentral:rRNA from 1 species
GAAACUCGCCUAUAUGAAGUCGGAAUUGCUAGUAAUCGCGGAUCAGCAUGCCGCGGUGAAUACGUUCCCGGGCCUUGUACACACCGCCCGUCACACCAUGAGAGUCGAUAACACCCGAAGCCUGUAGUCUAACAGCAAUGAGGACGCAGUCGAAGGUGGGAUUGAUAAUUAGGGUGAAGUCGUAACAAGGUAAC